rnacentral:rRNA from 1 species
UACGAAGGGGGCUAGCGUUGCUCGGAAUCACUGGGCGUAAAGGGUGCGUAGGCGGGUCUUUAAGUCAGGGGUGAAAUCCUGAAGCUCAACUCCAGAACUGCCUUUGAUACUGAGGAUCUUGAGUUCGGGAGAGGUGAGUGGAACUGCGAGUGUAGAGGUGAAAUUCGUAGAUAUUCGCAAGAACACCAGUGGCGAAGGCGGCUCACUGGCCCGAUACUGACGCUGAGGCACGAAAGCGUGGGGGAGCAAACAGG